CCUACGGGGGGCAGCAGUGAGGAAUAUUGGUCAAUGGGCGCGAGCCUGAACCAGCCAAGUAGCGUGAAGGAUGACUGCCCUACGGGUUGUAAACUUCUUUUGUCAGGGAGCAACGCCGGCUACGUGUAGCCGGACUGAGAGUACCUGAAGAAAAAGCAUCGGCUAACUCCGUGCCAGCAGCCGCGGUAAUACGGAGAAUGCGAGCGUUAUCCGGAUUGAUUGGGUUUAAAGGGUGCGUAGGCGGAAUGCCAAGUCAGCGGUAAAAUCGCGGGGCUCAACCUCGCUCCGCCGUUGAAACUGGCGUUCUUGAGUGGGCGAGAAGUAUGCGGAAUGCGUGGUGUAGCGGUGAAAUGCAUAGAUAUCACGCAGAACUCCGAUUGCGAAGGCAGCAUACCGGCGCCCAACUGACGCUGAAGCACGAAAGCGUGGGUAUCGAACAGGAUUAGAUACCCGGGUAGUC
rnacentral:rRNA from 1 species